ACCCUCCUCCUCCCCCUCGCAGCCUCCAACUUCCUGCUCGCCUCCCUCAGGCCGGAGCAGCUGCAAGCCCUUCCCUCUCCGCCUUCGUAGCCCAGCGAGCUCGGCCUUUCCCGUCACCGUGCUCGCGGGCCGGGGCUGCCGGGGCUCCGGCCAAGGGGCGGCGAGGCGUCAUGGGGUGGCGGUGGCUGCUGUCGGAGCCCCUGAGCGCGGCGCAACUGCGGCGCCUGGAGCAGCACUGCUAUAGCGCGUCCGGGCGCUCGUUGCUGGAGCCGCCGCUGCAGCUCUUCUGGGCCUGGCUGGUGGAGCUCGCGCCCGCCUGGCUGGCCCCCAACGCCAUCACCCUGGGCGGCCUGGUGGUCAACCUGGUCCCCACCCUCCUGCUCUUCGCCUACUGCCCCACCGCCACCGAGGAGGCUCCAUCUUGGGUGCUGUUUUCAUGCGCAUUAGGACUCUUUAUUUACCAGUCAUUGGAUGCUAUUGAUGGGAAGCAAGCUAGAAGAACCAACAGCAGCUCUCCUUUGGGAGAACUCUUUGACCAUGGCUGCGACUCUGUGUCCACAGUUUUCAUUGGUAUUGCAAGCUGCUUAGCAGUUCGGCUAGGAACGAAUCCAGACUGGCUGUUUUUCUGUUCCUUUAUUGGAAAUUUCCUGUUUUAUUGUGCUCAUUGGCAAACCUAUGUAUCGGGCAUGCUAAAGUUUGGGAAAAUUGAUGUUACUGAAGUACAGAUAGCCGUAAUGAUACUCUUUUUGUUGUCUGCAUUUGGUGGAACAACCAUGUGGGACAGCCAGAUUCCUAUGCUGGACAUAAAACUGAAGAUGAUUCCCGUGGCAGGAAUAGUAUUUGGAGCAAUAAAUUCCAGUUACCACUAUUUCAAAGUAAUCUUUGGAGGAGGAGUUGGGAAAAAUGGAUCCACAAUAGCAGGAACAAGUGUUUUGUCACCAGGAGUCCAUAUAGGAUUAAUUUUUACUUUGGCAAUAAUGAUCUAUAAGAAGUCCACAACACACAUUUUCGAAAAGCAUCCUUGCCUCUAUGCUUUAACAUUUGGAUUUGUGAGUGCCAAGAUCACGCAAAAACUGGUGGUAGCACAUAUGACAAAAAGUGAAAUCUUCCUACAAGAUACUGCAUUUAUUGGACCAGGCCUCCUAUUUCUAGACCAGUAUUUCAACAGUUUUAUUGAUGAAUAUAUAAUUUUGUGGAUAGCACUGUUCAUAUCUUUGCUUGAUUUGCUGAGAUAUUCCACUGGACUAUGCAUACAGAUUGCUGCACAUCUUCGCAUACAUGUCUUCAAAAUCCCAUCUCAUCAAGCUCCUGAACAGGUUCAAAACCAUAAUGAGUGACUUGUAGCUGAAGGUGAAGAGGAGGAGCAGUUAGGGAGAAAUGUUGAAUUGUGGAAAGUACCUUUAUUCAGGAAUACAGAUGUGAAAACUUCUGGAGAAAAUGAAGUGCAAGAGAGGUUCACGUUGUUUCUCCACUGAGCCAUCAGAAUAACAUGGAUUGAAGAGACUUGCGAACAGUUGCCAUCUCUUGCUGUUGCUGUCAUAAGAAAAGAAAAAAACCCCCACUGGUUAAAUGUAAUAUUUUGUAACAUAGUAUUUUGAUUCACUGAACAAAAUGGUAAAUAUUUAAUUUUCUAUUUAACAUGUUCUGUUUUAAAAUGCGUAGCUGAACUUUUCAUAAAUGAGUGUCAACACUUACAGUGUCCAUCAUAAUUUUCUUUUGCAGCAUAGCCAUUUCUUUGCGAAGUUCAUUCUGGGCUCCAGUUAAUAGGCUUUCAUGAGUCUUCUCCAUGUCUUCCAUGCUCUAAAAGCAGAUGCCAGCUUCAAUUAAUCUUUCUUUUAUAUUGAGAAAUUUGCUUGCCUUUAAGUCAAAUGGGGCACCUAAACCAUCAUAGCAGCUACAAAGAAUUUCUGUGUUGGGAAACUAUGGUCUUAACACGUGCCAGUUCUUGAGAAGUAUUUCCUAUAACUUUUUUAGAAUGCUGAACUACCAGUCUGUUAAUAGAACUGGUCAGCUACUUCAGAAGAUAACCUACAUGCGACAAGACAUAGUGAACAUUAUGUCAACAUUGUGUCUAACUACAACCCUUUAAAAAACCAGAGAGGGUCACAACCAAGGAGGCAUUCAGUUGCAAGUGUGAAGUCAUCAUGCAAAAAUUGAAGGGGGCACAAAAAAAGGUUGAAACUGGUAAAACAGGCAACAGAUACCCUGCCUAUAAGUUAGAUUCCAGUUCAGUCGCACCUUAGAGACCAACAAGAGUUUCAGUGUGUCAGCUUUCAAGACUCAACGCUCCCUUUGUCAGACCUGUCUGAUGAAGAGAGCUUUGAUGCUCAAAAGUGUACACCCUGAAAACUCUGUUAGGCUUCAAGGCACUACUGGACUCAAAUCUUUCUCAUGCAGACCAACACAGCUAUCCUCUGAAGCUACCUAUAAGAACAUUCUGGCCAUUGAUAUUGGCAAAUAGAUUUGUUAUACAGUAAUAACUUGUUAGCACAAGUGAACGUGGUUUAGACCAGAGGCUGCAAGAAAUUACCAUGCAUAUCUUCAGCAUCAGGUUGUCAAAAUCAUACUUUCUUUCCAGGGCUAAAAUCUGAUCAUAAGAUAUAUAUAUAUUAAACUGACAAUAAUACUGUGUCCUUAAAGUUGGGCAUAGGCAACUUGCUUGGGCUAUAAUAUCAUUUGGUGUUAAAACAAAAUGCAUAUACUUGACCUUCAAGAAUUGUUCAUAUAGCUGCUUAAUGGUUUUCAGUCUCUGACUCUGAACUAUUCUUGCCUGUUGGAAUACCUUUUGUUGUUGCCGAAACAUGUUCUAAAGCAAAAAAAGUUCUUCUCAUAAGAUGCUCAUAUGAUUAUGAUUGUGGAUACACUUUAAUACUUCUACAAAAAUAUUGCAGAGCAGUUUAAACUUUCCUGAAAAUGAAGACUGUAAAUUUGUCCAGGUCUGAUGGCUUUGAGAAGCUGAAACAUAGCAUAGCUGUAUUUAGUGUUAUGCCUCAUGAUAAGAGAUGUUAAUGGAACUUACCGGUAAUUUGUGAAUACAGCGACUUUGCUGACUUUAACCUAGAGCUCCUAGUACUUCACACAGUUUGAUCUGAAUUGUUUUGAACUUUAUUUUAGGAGAAGGCAUUGGAGCAUGCAUCAUUGCAAAGACAAAUUUUGAAAUAAAUCUAAUGCACAGCAAAAUCCAGCUAGAAUAAAUAUAGUAAUUGCACAUGAGUGAACAUAAUCUUUCUCGCCUCUUUGGCUUGUGAAUGAACUGUAGUUUAUCACACUCCAUUAGAGUGGAUAGUUGUAAAUAUAAGCCCCAAAGGUUUAAACCAAUUGACGAAUGCAAGGGAAACAAACCGCUAGUUUUUCUUCCUGUUCUUCUGCUUUCUGUAGGUCAGCAUCCCACUGUUGAAACACAUGUAGGAAUUGUUGGGAGUAUUCAUGGUUGACUUUCUGCCUAAGGAAAAAAGUUCAUAGCCUAAUAUAAGGGAUUUGUGAAUGCUUUGUGUAAUAUCAGUUAUCUAGGACCUAGAACAGUGGUUCUCAACCUGGGGGUCGGGACAGGGGUCGCCUAAGACUCUCUGCAUCAGUGUUCUCCAUCUGUAAAAUGGAUAAAUGUUAGGGUUGGGGGUCACCACAACAUGAGGAACUGUAUUAAAGGGUCGCGACAUUAGGAAGGUUGAGAACCACUGACCUAAAAGGAAAUGAAAGUCAACCUGCAGUUUUAAGGUAACCCUGAAAAAAAACUUAAAACUGUAUGUAUCAAAAUCAAGACAUUUGUUAUGAAGACAGGCAUUUUAUUUAAUUUGACCAUUAUUUUGAAGAGGGUAUGCUUAUUACUAAGAAAACUUUUGAUGAUAGGCUGCCGGGUUUUUUGGAUAAAUUAUAAUAAAAUAAUGUUAUUCAUUUGAAAAUGUAUAUGCCACUUCUACUGUUGAGAAUAUUUACAAUUAAAAUCCAGUUGAAAGAACCAUCUUAAAUAAGUCAGCAAAAUCUGCUUGAUCUAGCAGCCAUUAAAUCAACAGAACAGGUUCAACAGGAUUGAUUGGUACAAUUGCAUAAAACAAUGUUGAAUAUAUGCCCCCACUGAGAAAGCCCAAGCAUUUUCUGCCUUCUGCGGGCGUGGAAAGAAAGAGCAGGGCUGUAGAAGAACAUCUUCACUGAUAAGCAAGUACAAGAGGAGUUGCUCCUUCAGCUGUGUAGAACUUUAAAGGUUGGCAAAGUACAUAGCCUGGACUGAUUUCCCUGAAAAAUGUAAAAUACAAAUCUUACCUUUGCUCUUGUUGGGUUUUCCAAACACAUUCUAUUUUCUGAUUACUUGUUUUGAGAGAGGCUUUGGUGUACAAUUCUAAUCUUUUCCUCUUAGCUAGAAGUGCCUUGUUAAUAUCCGCUACGUUAAGACAAUGAAUGGGCAUUGAGUUGUAUAUUUCAACAGAUAUAUAUUUUAAUUUAAAUUACACAAAGUUCUUUUCAAGCGACAUUGCCAUAAUGGCUCACAUAGGACGUUUAAGGUUUUAUUGUUUUAUAUGUUUGAAAAGCUGUAUUAAUCUUAUAGUAUUCAAAAAAGUAUUCAAUUGUUUUAGUACAGCAUAAGACAAUGAACAUCAUGAAUGUUAUUAAUAGUCAAUAUAAACAAUGCUAUCAAAUGAAAAAUCACUGUAUUACUAAAAAAGCCUAAUCAGUGAUACUCAAUGGUUGGGGAACCAUAUUUGACCAGUGUGUGGCACCUAUCUUCUGUUUCCUCAGUGUGGGACCCAUCCUAUGUUUCAGAAAAGGGGGUGAGGCCCUUGUUAAUUGAAGACUAUGGUUAACUGUUGGUUUCACCUUGAAACAGGUGCUGCUGGAAAAACAGAAAAGCUAGAAGUGCAACCCUUCACACUAGGGAUGGAAGUAAAUAUGGCUCUUUUAAUUGAGCAACUCCCAUCCUCUGCCCCUGAAAUUUUUACUCCAUAAGCAAGAACAUACAGAAACGUUUUCAGUAAUAUCUUUCUGAUUUUAUAUAGAUGGCUGGCUUGCUGAUCUAGAUACUUAUCCCUGGCAAGGCCACAAUAAAAUUAAAGUAAAUAUUAUAAUACUAUACUGCUGGCCACACAAAGUAUAAUUAAAGCAUGUGUGAGUAUUUAAUACAAAGUGCAGCAAUCAAACAUAACACAUACAAGAAUCCAGUUGUGUUUGAUAGCUGCACUUUAUAUUAAAUACUUUAUAUUAAAUAUGUGCACAUGCAUUAUUUAUCCUUCAUGUGGCCAGCAAUAUAGUGUUAUUUCUUUUUGCUUGCACUGCUGCACUACAAACUUAAUACAUAACUGAACAUAUUUUUAAAAAGACACAAUACUACAGUCUCAUGGUGUGGCCAUUCUUGGAACUGAAUUAUAAAUAGAUCAUUUGUUGCUGUGAAGCUAAACAGAAGACUCAUUUACUACAAAGCCACUGGCUACAGUUUCUGCUAUGUAUUAUAGACAUAGUAUUGUCUAUGUAGUGUUGCUGUGUAGCAUAGUACAGGCUAUAGUAAUGUAGUGCCACUGUACUACAAGAUGAAAAAUAUGACAAAAAAUCCAAUUUAACUGAACAUUUACAUACAUUUUAACAAAUCUGUGCUAUUUCUGUGCUUUUCACACUUACCAGAUUAUUUGCUGUAAUUCCAUCAUGAACAAUUUAGGUUAAGUUUAUGAACUGUAUUUGAGACUUAUUGUGUUACAAAAGUGUUUCACUGACAGUACAUGAACAUUUUCAAAUACAUACCUCCAAAUCGCUCCAACAUAUUCUGUACUUCUCCCCUAUAAAAAGUGUUAUAAGACUAUUUUUGUUCAUUAUGAAAAAUAAACUUAUAUAUUUCAAUUUU